AUGCACGCUGGCGGCGUGCUUAACACAUGCAAGUCGAACGGUGAAGGCGGAGCUUGCUCUGCUGGAUCAGUGGCGAACGGGUGAGUAACACGUGAGCAAUCUGCCCCUGACUCUGGGAUAAGCGCUGGAAACGGCGUCUAAUACUGGAUACGAGCUGCGAAGGCAUCUUCAGCAGCUGGAAAGAAUUUCGGUCAGGGAUGAGCUCGCGGCCUAUCAGCUUGUUGGUGAGGUAAUGGCUCACCAAGGCGUCGACGGGUAGCCGGCCUGAGAGGGUGACCGGCCACACUGGGACUGAGACACGGCCCAGACUCCUACGGGAGGCAGCAGUGGGGAAUAUUGCACAAUGGGCGAAAGCCUGAUGCAGCAACGCCGCGUGAGGGACGACGGCCUUCGGGUUGUAAACCUCUUUUAGCAGGGAAGAAGCGAAAGUGACGGUACCUGCAGAAAAAGCGCCGGCUAACUACGUG
rnacentral:rRNA from 1 species